rnacentral:rRNA from 1 species
GGAGCUUGCUCCACCGGAAAAAGAAGAGUGGCGAACGGGUGAGUAACACGUGGGUAACCUGCCCAUCAGAAGGGGAUAACACUUGGAAACAGGUGCUAAUACCGUAUAACAAUCAAAACCGCAUGGUUUUGAUUUGAAAGGCGCUUUCGGGUGUCGCUGAUGGAUGGACCCGCGGUGCAUUAGCUAGUUGGUGAGGUAACGGCUCACCAAGGCCACGAUGCAUAGCCGACCUGAGAGGGUGAUCGGCCACAUUGGGACUGAGACACGGCCCAAACUCCUACGGGAGGCAGCAGUAGGGAAUCUUCGGCAAUGGACGAAAGUCUGACCGAGCAACGCCGCGUGAGUGAAGAAGGUUUUCGGAUCGUAAAACUCUGUUGUUAGAGAAGAACAAGGAUGAGAGUAACUGUUCAUCCCUUGACGGUAUCUAACCAGAAAGCCACGGCUAACUACGUGCCAGCAGCCGCGGUAAUACGUAGGUGGCAAGCGUUGUCCGGAUUUAUUGGGCGUAAAGCGAGCGCAGGCGGUUUCUUAAGUCUGAUGUGAAAGCCCCCGGCUCAACCGGGGAGGGUCAUUGGAAACUGGGAGACUUGAGUGCAGAAGAGGAGAGUGGAAUUCCAUGUGUAGCGGUGAAAUGCGUAGAUAUAUGGAGGAACACCAGUGGCGAAGGCGGCUCUCUGGUCUGUAACUGACGCUGAGGCUCGAAAGCGUGGGGAGCAAACAGGAUUAGAUACCCUGGUAGUCCACGCCGUAAACGAUGAGUGCUAAGUGUUGGAGGGUUUCCGCCCUUCAGUGCUGCAGCUAACGCAUUAAGCACUCCGCCUGGGGAGUACGACCGCAAGGUUGAAACUCAAAGGAAUUGACGGGGGCCCGCACAAGCGGUGGAGCAUGUGGUUUAAUUGGAAGCAACGCGAAGAACCUUACCAGGUCUUGACAUCCUUUGACCACUCUAGAGAUAGAGCUUCCCCUUCGGGGGCAAAGUGACAGGUGGUGCAUGGUUGUCGUCAGCUCGUGUCGUGAGAUGUUGGGUUAAGUCCCGCAACGAGCGCAACCCUUAUUGUUAGUUGCCAUCAUUCAGUUGGGCACUCUAGCAAGACUGCCGGUGACAAACCGGAGGAAGGUGGGGAUGACGUCAAAUCAUCAUGCCCCUUAU